rnacentral:rRNA from 1 species
CCUACGGGUGGCAGCAGUGAGGAAUAUUGGUCAAUGGGCGCGAGCCUGAACCAGCCAAGUAGCGUGAAGGAUGACUGCCCUACGGGUUGUAAACUUCUUUUAUCAAGGAAUAAAGUGAGGCACGUGUGCCUUUUUGUAUGUACUUUAUGUAUAAGGAUCGGCUAACUCCGUGCCAGCAGCCGCGGUAAUACGGAGGAUCCGAGCGUUAUCCGGAUUUAUUGGGUUUAAAGGGGGCGUAGAUGGGUUGUUAAGUCAGGUGUGAAAGUUUGCGGCUCAACCGUAAAAGUGCCAUUGAUACUGGCAGCCUUGAGUACAGUUGAGGUAGGAGGAAUGCGUGGUGUAGCGGUGAAAUGCAUAGAUAUCACGCAGAACUCCGAUUGCGAAGGCAGCUUACGAAACUGCCACUGACAUUGAUGCUCGAAAGUGUGGGUAUCAAACAGGAUUAGAUACCCCAGUAGUC